rnacentral:rRNA from 1 species
AUUGAACGCUGGCGGAAUGCUUUACACAUGCAAGUCGAACGGUAGAGGGGGCAACCCCUUGAGAGUGGCGAACGGGUGAGUAAUAUAUCGGAACGUGCCCAGUCGUGGGGAUAACGUAGCGAAAGUUACGCUAAUACCGCAUACGAUCUACGGAUGAAAGCGGGGGACUCGCAAGAGCCUCGCGCGAUUGGAGCGGCCGAUAUCAGAUUAGGUAGUUGGUGGGGUAAAGGCUCACCAAGCCAACGAUCUGUAGCUGGUCUGAGAGGACGACCAGCCACACUGGAACUGAGACACGGUCCAGACUCCUACGGGAGGCAGCAGUGGGGAAUUUUGGACAAUGGACGCAAGUCUGAUCCAGCCAUUCCGCGUGCAGGAUGAAGGCCCUCGGGUUGUAAGCUGCUUUUGUACGGAACGAAAAGGUUUCUAUUAAUACUAGGAGCUCAUGACGGUACCGUAAGAAUAAGCACCGGCUAACUACGUGCCAGCAGCCGCGGUAAAGUG